CAGCACCUCAAGUGGUCAGGAUGAUUAUUGGGCCUAAAGCAUCCGUAGCCGGCGCUGUAAGUUUUCGGUUAAAUCUGUACGCUCAACGUACAGGCUGCCGGGAAUACUGCAGCGCUAGGGAGUGGGAGAGGUAGACGGUACUCGGUAGGAAGGGGUAAAAUCCUUUGAUCUAUUGAUGACCACCUGUGGCGAAGGCGGUCCACCAGAACACGUCCGACGGUGAGGGAUGAAAGCUGGGGGAGCAAACCGGAUUAGAUACCCGGUAGUCC
rnacentral:rRNA from 1 species